rnacentral:rRNA from 1 species
GACGAACGCUGGCGGCGUGCUUAACACAUGCAAGUCGAACGGAAAGGCCCUGCUUUUGUGGGGUGCUCGAGUGGCGAACGGGUGAGUAACACGUGAGUAACCUGCCCUUGACUUUGGGAUAACUUCAGGAAACUGGGUCUAAUACCGGAUAGGAUCUCCUGCUGCAUGUUGUGGGUUGGUUAGUUUCGGCGGUUGGGGAUGGACUCGCGGCUUAUCAUCUUGUUGGUGGGGUAGUGGCUUACCAAGGGUUUGACGGGUAGCCGGCAUGAGAGGGUGACCGGCCACAUUGGGACUGAGAUACGGCCCAGACUCCUACGGGAGGCAGAAGGGGGGAAUAUUGCACAAUGGGCGGAAGCCUGAUGCAGCAACGCCGCGUGCGGGAUGACGGCCUUCGGGUUGUAAACCGCUUUCGCCUGUGACGAAGCGUGAGUGACGGUAAUGGGUAAAGAAGCACCGGCUAACUACGUG